GGGGAAACUCCUGUUUUUAAAACCAUCAGCUUGCAUGAGACUUAUUCAGCACCAUAAGAACAGCACAGGAAAGACCUGCCCCCAUGAUUCAAUUACCUUCCACAACACAUGGGAAUUGUGAGAGGUCAUGCUGAUGCAAGUGGUGGGUUCCCACGGCCUUGAGCAGCUCCAUUCCUGUGGCUUUGCAGGUACAGCCUCCUUCCAGGCUGAUUUCAUGGGUUGGCAUUGAGUCUCUGUGGCUUUUCCAGGUGCACGGUGCAAGCUGUUGGUGGAUCUACCAUUCUAGGGUCUGGAAGAUGGUGGCCUUCUUCUCGCAGCUCCACUAGGCAGUGCCCAAGUAGGAGCUCUGUUUGGGGGUUCCGACCCCACAUUUACCUUGUGCACUGCCCUAGCAGAGGUUCUCCAUGAAAGUGCCACCCCUGCAGCAAACUUCUGCCUGAACAUCCAGGCACUUCCAUACAACCUCCGAAAUUUAGGUGGAGGGUCCCAAAGCCCAAUUCUUGACUUCUGUGCACUGGCAGGCUCAACAUCAUGUAUAAGCUGCCAAGUCUUGAGGCUUGCACCCUCUGAAGCUGCAGCUUGAGCUCUACAUUGGCCCCUGUCAGCCACGGCUGGAGCAGCUGGGACAUAGGGCACCAAGUCCCUAUGCUGCACACAGCAUGGGGACCCUGGGGCCGGAAACAAAACCACCUUUUCCUCCUAGGCCUCUGGGACUGUGAUGGGAAGAGCUGCCAUGACAGCCUCUGAUACUCCCUGGAGAUAUUUUCCCCAUUGUCUUGGAGAUUAACAUUCGGCUCCGUGUCACUUAUGCAAAUUUCUGCAUCCAGCUUGGAUUUCUUCUCAGAAAAUGAGAUUUUCUUUUCUAUCAAUUGUCAGGCUGCAAAUUUUCCAAACUUUUAUGCUCUGUUUCCCUUUUAAAACUGAAUGACUUUAACAGCACCCAAGUCACAUCUUGAAUGCUUUGCUGCUUAGAAAUUUCUUCCAUCAAAUACCCUACAUCAUCUCUCUCAAGUUCAAAUUCCACAAAUCUCUAGGGCAGGGGCAAAAUGUCACUGGUCUCUUUGAUAAAAAAUAGCAAGAGUUACCUUUACUCCAGUACCCAACAAGUUUCUCAUCUCCAUCUGAAAUCACCUCAGCCUGAAUUUCAUUGUCCAUAUUACUAUCAGCAUUUUGUUCAAAGCCAUUUAACAUGUCUCUAGGAAGUUCCAAAGUUUUCCUUAUUUUCCUGGAUUCUUCUGAGCCCUCCAAACUGUUCCAACCUCUGCCUGUUACCCACUUCCAAAUUUGCUUCUACAUUUUCGGGUAUCUUUUCAGCAGGGCCCCACUCUACUGAUACCAAUUUACUGUAUUAGUCCGUAUUCAUGCUGCUGAUGAAGACAUACCCAAGACUGGGCAAUUUACAAAAAAAAGAGAUUUAUUGGAUUUACAGUUCCUCAUGGGUGGGGAGGCCUCACAAUCAUGGUGGAAGGCAAGGAGGAGUAAAUCAUGUCUUACGUGGAUGGCA
rnacentral:lncRNA from 10 species